rnacentral:rRNA from 1 species
AUGAGCGGGUCGGAGGAGGAGGCGGCGCAUGCGGCCGGCCGGGGCGGGGGCAGCGGGGGCGGGGGCGGGGGCGGCGCGGGCGGGUCGUCGGGGAGCGGCGGCGAGGGCCACCCGCGCCGGCGGUUCGACGACAAGACCCUGGUGGCGCGCACGUCGCUCAUCCUCUGGCACACGCACCAGAACGACGCGGCCGCCGUGCGCAAGCUGCUCGACGAGGACGGCACGCUCGUCAGCGCCCGCGACUACGACAGCCGCACGCCGCUCCACGUCGCCGCGCUCCACGGAUGGCAGGAAGUCGCCGAGUGCCUCCUCGCCAAGGGCGCAGACGUCAACGCGCUCGACCGCUGGCAGAACACGCCACUUGCUGAUGCAGAGGGUGCAAAGAGGCAUGCUAUGAUCGAACUGCUCAAGAAGCAUGGCGGGUUGACAUUCGGGAAAACUGGAAGCCACUUUGAAGCAAAGUCAAUUCCACCUCCCCUAACAAACAAGGCUGACUGGGAGAUUAACCCACUUGAAUUAGAUUUCACAAAAGCAGUAAUGAUCGGAAAGGGUUCUUUUGGUGAAAUCCUGAAAGCAAAUUGGCGAGGAACACCAAUUGCUGUCAAACGCAUUCUUCCAUCAUUAUCCGACGAUAGACUGGUUAUCCAAGAUUUUAAGCAUGAAGUCAAUUUGCUAAUAAAGCUGAGGCAUCCAAAUAUUGUACAGUUCCUUGGAGCAGUCACAGAAACCAAGCCUUUGAUGCUAGUUACCGAGUUCCUCCGAGGAGGUGAUCUUCAUCAAUAUCUCAAGGAGAAAGGCUCCCUCUCCCCACUUACUGCCGUUAACUUCGCAUUGGACAUCGCAAGAGGCAUGGCCUAUCUUCAUAACGAGCCUAAUGUUAUAAUUCAUCGGGACUUAAAGCCAAGAAAUAUUCUUUUAGUUAAUACUGCUGCCAACCACUUGAAAGUUGGAGAUUUCGGUCUUAGCAAAAUUAUCAAAUCUCAGCAUGCCAAUGAUGUAUACAAGAUGACCGGAGAGACCGGAAGCUAUCGGUACAUGGCUCCUGAAGUUUUCAAGCACCGGAAAUAUGACAAGAAAGUUGAUAUUUUCUCCUUUGCCAUGAUACUUUAUGAGAUGCUGGAAGGGGAUUCACCUUUUUCCAGUUAUGAACCUUAUGAGGCUGCUAAGUAUGUAUCAGAUGGGCAUCGCCCAACUUUCCGUUCAAAAGGACAUACCGCUGAGCUGAAAGAAUUGACUGAGGUAUGUUGGGCUGCGGAUAUCAAUUUGAGACCAUCUUUCCUAGAGAUACUCAAGAGGCUGGAGAAGAUCAAGGAAAGCUUGGCAUCCCACGAUCACCACUGGCAUUUAUUCUCACAAUAA